ensembl:lncRNA
GCUGCAUGGAAACCAAAGGCCAGUUCAGCCACAGCUUGGUUUGGUGAGUGUUGGAGAUUCGGCUCAGCUGGUGGCAUUGAAGUAGGAGAAAUCAACAAGAUGAGAGCCCAGUGUGCAGAAAAGAAUUAAUUUAACAGGCCUGUGACUACUAUCCUUAGAAAGACCUGCUUGCUAGGUUGGCCUUUGGUCAGUGUCUGGGAAAUUGGAUUUUGGGAGACUUCUCACCAUUUCCUAACUGAUAAGAAACCUCAUUGCCUAAACUAUUUGUGCAAAUGAUGUGGGUUAUGCAGAAUUCCUGUUUCCUUCUGAGAAUCUGGAAUUUUGGUAUUCACUAAGCAGAAGACUACCUAGAAUUCCAGAAAAACCUUGGAAAAGUUGCUGAGUCACGUUUGACUAUUAGCAAUCCCAUGGACUACAGCAUGCCAGGCUCCUCUAUCCUCCACUAUCUCCUGGAGU